UACGUAGGGUGCGAGCGUUGUCCGGAAUUAUUGGGCGUAAAGAGCUCGUAGGUGGUCUGUUACGUCUGCUGUGAAAUCCUAGGGCUUAACCCUGGGCCUGCAGUGGAUACGGGCAGACUAGAGGUAGGUAGGGGAGAAUGGAAUUCCCGGUGUAGCGGUGAAAUGCGCAGAUAUCGGGAGGAACACCGGUGGCGAAGGCGGUUCUCUGGGCCUUACCUGACACUGAGGAGCGAAAGCGUGGGGAGCGAACAGG
rnacentral:rRNA from 1 species